GAGUUUGAUCCUGGCUCAGAUUGAACGCUGGCGGCAGGCCUAACACAUGCAAGUCGAGCGGUAGAGGGAAGCUUGCUUCUCUUGAGAGCGGCGGACGGGUGAGUAAUGCCUAGGAAUCUGCCUGGUAGUGGGGGAUAACGCUCGGAAACGGACGCUAAUACCGCAUACGUCCUACGGGAGAAAGCAGGGGACCUUCGGGCCUUGCGCUAUCAGAUGAGCCUAGGUCGGAUUAGCUAGUUGGUGAGGUAAUGGCUCACCAAGGCGACGAUCCGUAACUGGUCUGAGAGGAUGAUCAGUCACACUGGAACUGAGACACGGUCCAGACUCCUACGGGAGGCAGCAGUGGGGAAUAUUGGACAAUGGGCGAAAGCCUGAUCCAGCCAUGCCGCGUGUGUGAAGAAGGUCUUCGGAUUGUAAAGCACUUUAAGUUGGGAGGAAGGGCAGUAAAUUAAUACUUUGCUGUUUUGACGUUACCGACAGAAUAAGCACCGGCUAACUCUGUGCCAGCCGCCGACCG
rnacentral:rRNA from 1 species